UGCAGAUAACAGGACCGUAUAAAAGCUCACCUGAACGAUUUGGUUCCAUUAUAGUCACUCAGUCAGAAUGAAGUCUUUCUUGUUGGUUGUCGUAGCAUUGGUUGCAGUUCUCAGCUCCGUAACUGCACAAAUACCUUGCAAGGGGAUGUUCUUUUCCUGUACUGAAACCUGCACGUUUGGAGGCAAUCAUAUUUUUGGAGUUUGUCCUGCGGGACAAGUCUGUUGCCCUAUGGGACUAGGAAGAAAGUAGAGGAAUAUCCACUAGAUCAAAGCCAUUUGAAAAAUGCGAAUAAAAUCGAUUCACACAUUCGGUAUACUUUCGUGCUUGUGUAAUGAUGUAAAAUGGCUGUUUGAACUAUACCAUUAUUGAAAUAAAGUGUAUUUUGAAAACUA